rnacentral:rRNA from 1 species
UGCUUAACACAUGCAAGUCGAACGGAAAGGCCCUGCUUUUGUGGGGUGCUCGAGUGGCGAACGGGUGAGUAACACGUGAGUAACCUGCCCUUGACUUUGGGAUAACUUCAGGAAACUGGGGCUAAUACCGGAUAGGAGCUCCUGCUGCAUGGUGGGGGUUGGAAAGUUUCGGCGGUUGGGGAUGGACUCGCGGCUUAUCAGCUUGUUGGUGGGGUAGUGGCUUACCAAGGCUUUGACGGGUAGCCGGCCUGAGAGGGUGACCGGCCACAUUGGGACUGAGAUACGGCCCAGACUCCUACGGGAGGCAGCAGUGGGGAAUAUUGCACAAUGGGCGGAAGCCUGAUGCAGCAACGCCGCGUGCGGGAUGACGGCCUUCGGGUUGUAAACCGCUUUCGCCUGUGACGAAGCGUGAGUGACGGUAAUGGGUAAAGAAGCACCGGCUAACUACGUGCCAGCAGCCGCGGUGAUACGUAGGGUGCGAGCGUUGUCCGGAUUUAUUGGGCGUAAAGGGCUCGUAGGUGGUUGAUCGCGUCGGAAGUGUAAUCUUGGGGCUUAACCCUGAGCGUGCUUUCGAUACGGGUUGACUUGAGGAAGGUAGGGGAGAAUGGAAUUCCUGGUGGAGCGGUGGAAUGCGCAGAUAUCAGGAGGAACACCAGUGGCGAAGGCGGUUCUCUGGGCCUUUCCUGACGCUGAGGAGCGAAAGCGUGGGGAGCGAACAGGCUUAGAUACCCUGGUAGUCCACGCUGUAAACGGUGGGUACUAGGUGUGGGGUCCAUUCCACGGGUUCCGUGCCGUAGCUAACGCUUUAAGUACCCCGCCUGGGGAGUACGGCCGCAAGGCUAAAACUCAAAGGAAUUGACGGGGCCCCGCACAAGCGGCGGAGCAUGCGGAUUAAUUCGAUGCAACGCGUAGAACCUUACCUGGGUUUGACAUGGAUCGGGAGUGCUCAGAGAUGGGUGUGCCUCUUUUGGGGUCGGUUCACAGGUGGUGCAUGGCUGUCGUCAGCUCGUGUCGUGAGAUGUUGGGUUAAGUCCCGCAACGAGCGCAACCCUUGUUCACUGUUGCCAGCACGUUAUGGUGGGGACUCAGUGGAGACCGCCGGGGUCAACUCGGAGGAAGGUGGGGAUGACGUCAAGUCAUCAUGCCCCUUAUGUCCAGGGCUUCACGCAUGCUACAAUGGCUGGUACAGAGAGUGGCGAGCCUGUGAGAGUGAGCGAAUCUCGGAAAGCCGGUCUCAGUUCGGAUUGGGGUCUGCAACUCGACCUCAUGAAGUCGGAGUCGCUAGUAAUCGCAGAUCAGCAACGCUGCGGUGAAUACGUUCCCGGGGCUUGUACACACCGCCCGUCAAGUCAUGAAAGUUGGUAACACCCGAAGCCGGUGGCCUAACCGUUGUGGGGGAGCCGUCGAAGGUGGGACUGGUGAUUAGGACUAA